UGUUAGUCUAUGACGUGUCCAUUUGUAAAACGUCAUUGAUGUCCGAUAAACUGGAAUUUACGAGAGAUCUACAGAUAUUCCACUAAAAUUUCUUAGAAAGAAAGACAAAAACGCGGUAUGUAUCCUGCUGCUGCGAGGCGGACCACUAAUGAACCAGCUACUCUAUUCCUCCUCAACAGUUAGUUACAUGAUGCUGAGAAUUAUUUGACUCAAAUAUACUUUAAUUCUCAAUUAAAAACCCGAAAUAUACAAGUAUAAAUUAUGUAAACA